rnacentral:misc_RNA from 1 species
ACAAACUUGGUCAUUUAGAGGAAGUAAAAGUCGUAACAAGGUCUCCGUAGGUGAACCUGCGGAGGGAUCAUUACCGAAUGGCCCUCGUGGCCUUCAACCCACCCAAAACCUGUGGAAUCAAAUAUGUGCUUCGGCGCCCCCGGCGCCGUUUUUAUGCGGAACCAAAGGUUUGUGUCUGAACCGAACCGAGGAUUGAAAACUUUCAACAAACAAACUUGGUCAUUUAGAGGAAGUAAAAGUCGUAACAAGGUCUCCGUAGGUGAACCUGCGGAGGGAUCAUUACCGAAUGGCCCUCGUGGCCUUCAACCCACCCAAAACCUGUGGAAUCAAAUAUGUGCUUCGGCGCCCCCGGCGCCGUUUUUAUGCGGAACCAAAGGUUUGUGUCUGAACCGAACCGAGGAUUGAAAACUUUCAACAAAGGAUCUCUUGGCUCUCGCAUCGAUGAAGAACGCAGC